GAUGAACGCUGGCGGCGUGCCUAAUACAUGCAAGUCGAGCGAACAGACGAGGAGCUUGCUCCUCUGACGUUAGCGGCGGACGGGUGCGUAACACGUGGAUAACCUACCUAUAAGACUGGGAUACCUUCGGGAAACCGGAGCUAAUACCGGAUAAUAUAUUGAACCGCAUGGUUCAAUAGUGAAAGUCGGUUUUGGUGUACCUUAUAGAUGGAUCCGCGCCGCAUUCGCUAGUUGUGAAGGUAACGGCCUACCAAGGCAACGAUGCGUAGCCGACCUGAAAGGGAGGUCGGCCACACUGGAACUGAGACACGGUCCAGACUCCUACGGGAGGAAGCAGUAGGGAAUCUUCCGCAAUGGGCGAGAGCCUGACGGAGCAACGCCGCGUGAGGGAUGAAGGUCUUCGGAUCGUAAAACUCUGUUAUUAGGGAAGAACAAAUGUGUAAGUAACUAUGCACGUCUUGACGGUACCUAAUCAGAAAGCCACGGCUAACUACGUG
rnacentral:rRNA from 1 species